CCUACGGGUGGCUGCAGUGGGGAAUAUUGGACAAUGGGCGAAAGCCUGAUCCAGCCAUGCCGCGUGUGUGAAGAAGGCCUUCGGGUUGUAAAGCACUUUUAGUGGGGAAGAAAGCCUUGGGGCUAAUACCCUCGAGGAAGGACAUCACCCACAGAAGAAGCACCGGCUAACUCCGUGCCAGCAGCCGCGGUAAUACGGAGGGUGCGAGCGUUAAUCGGAAUUACUGGGCGUAAAGCGCGCGUAGGCGGUCUGAUAAGCCGGUUGUGAAAGCCCCGGGCUCAACCUGGGAACGGCAUCCGGAACUGUCAGGCUAGAGUGCAGGAGAGGAAGGUAGAAUUCCCGGUGUAGCGGUGAAAUGCGUAGAGAUCGGGAGGAAUACCAGUGGCGAAGGCGGCCUUCUGGACUGACACUGACGCUGAGGUGCGAAAGCGUGGGUAGCAAACAGGAUUAGAUACCCCGGUAGUC
rnacentral:rRNA from 1 species